UUGAUUUAUUCAAAAUGUUUUACUCAGACGACCGGUUAAGACGAGAGUUUGGUUGGACUCUGGCGGGCGCUCACCGGGCCUGGGACCGGCGGCCGACGCGGGGUCGGCUGUCCCGCCAAAGCAACGUGGUUUUUUUUAAACGACAAAGGGUUGGAGGUCGGGCCGGUUAGACCCUUACUCUUUAAUGAUCCUUCCGCAGGUUCACCUACGGAAA
rnacentral:misc_RNA from 1 species